GAAGUUCCUUUUGCAUUUGUUGUAGGGCUGGUUUGGUGGUGCUGAAUUCUCUUAGCUUUUGCUUGUCUCUAAAGCUUUUGAUUUCUCUGUCAAAUCUGAAUGAGAUCCUUGCCGGGUAGAGUAAUCUUGGUUGUAGGUUCUUCCCUUUCAUUACUUUAACUGUAUCAUGCCACUCCCUUCUGGUUUGUAGUUUCUGAUGAGAAAUCAGCUGUUAUCCUUAUGGGAGUUCUCUUGUAUGUUAUUUGUCAUUUUUGCCUUGUUGCUUUUAAUAAUAUUUCUUUGUCUUUAAUUUUUGUCAGUUUGAUUACUAUGUGUCUUGGCAUGUUUCUCUUUGGGUUUAUCCUGCCUGGGACUCUCUGCGCUUCCUGGACUUGGGUGGCUAUUUCCUUUCCCAUGUUAAGGAAAUUUUUGACUAUAAUCUCUUCAAAUAUUUUCUCGGGUCCUUUCUCUCUCUCUUCUCCUUCUGGGACCCCUAUAAUGUGAAUGUUGGUGUGUUUAAUGUUGUCCCAGAGGUCUCUUGACUGUCUUCAUUUCUUUUCAUUCUUUUUUCUUUAUUCUGUUCUGUGGCAGUGAAUUCCACCAUUCUGUCUUCCAGGUCACUUAUCCGUUUUUCUGCCUCCAUUAUUCUGCUAUUGAUUCCUUCUAGUGUAUUUUUCAUUUCAGUUAAUGUAUUGUUAAUCUCUAUUUGUUUGUUCUUUAAUUCUUCUAGGUGUUUGUUAAACUUUUCUUGCAUCUUCUCAAUCUUUGCCUUCAUUCUUUUUCCGAGGUCCAGGAUCGUCUUCACUAUCCUUAUUCUGAAUUCUUUUUCUGGAAGGUUGCCUAUCUCCACUUCAUUUAGUUGUUUUUCUGGGGUUUUAUCUUGUUCCUUCCUCUGGUACAUAGUCUCUGCCUUUUCAUUUUGUCUAUCUUUCUGUGACUCCUAUCACCUAUUCUACACCCCUCCCUUUAAAUCUCUAUUUUCUUUCAUAAUUCAGAUUUGGGUUUUCAUUCUUUUGUUAUAAUGUUUGGGAUGUAGUUAUCUUUUUUAUGACAUAAUAUUAUAUGGUGCAGAUAGUGGCCCUGGAUCCCUUACCAUCAACUUUUGACGAGUAAUGAGGUAUCUAGAGAACUUUGACAUUUUACUGUGCUUUCAGGAGUAUAGCCUACUCCAGGUUAGAUUGCCUUUCUGGUAUUUACCUGCAUCCAUUCAGCCAAGAUUAUGUAGGUAAAAUAUAACCAAAGUAUGUUUUCUGAUGACAUAAGAGUUUGUGAAAACAAUUUAUAAGAGGGUUAUGGUUUUUUUAAAUGAUUUUACAAAAAACAGCCUUUUGAUAUUAUGUAUAAACAGAGUAGAGUCACCAAUGGGAGAGUAAACUCUACUCCCGUUUCUGUGAUGACAGCAGCUGCCAUAAUAAUUGUGCUAAAACUAUCCGAUAGACAAGCCAGUAGUGUUCAACUAAUCCAGCUGCAUACUAUGAAUUGAAGACUAUAUUAGAAAACAACCAUUACUAGAAAAUCACUGACUGGCAUAGGGUCAAAAUGCAGAACAGAGAAUUUUGUCAAGGUUGCUGCUUUGUAACCAACCAAAGAUAGACUAGAAUUUAUUGAUGUGCUAUUGCACAUCACAAAAUCCUAGGUAAGGAAAAUAGAUAACUAUGUGGUUCUGGAAAAUAUUAACAGAGAGUGUCUUAGUUAAGGCUGCUAUAACUAAGUAUAUAGACUAGGAUGCUUAUAAACAGUAGAAAUUUAUUUCUCACAGUUCUGAAGCCUGGAAGUCUGACAUCAGGAUGCUGGCAUGGUCAGGUCCUGGUGAGGGUCCUCUUCUGGAUUGCAGACUGUCAUCUUUUCCUUGUAACCUCAUGUGGUGGUGAGCAGAGAGAGGAGGCAAGCUCUCUCAUGACUGUUACAAAGGCACUAAUCCCAUUCCUGAGGGCUCCAUCCACAUGACCUCAUCUAAUACUAAUUACCCCCCAAAGGCCCAACCUUCUAAUACUAUCACAUUGUGGGGGUAGGAUUUCAACAUAUGAAUUAUGGGGUUCAUAAACAUUCGGUCCAUAGGUGGAGGGCAUUCAGGAAUAUUAAAAUACAGCAAGCAAGGUUUGAUCGCUUCACCCCUAGCACAAUACUGGACAAAGAAUAGGUGCUCAGAGAAUGGCUGUUAAGGUAAAUCAAGUUAUUCUUUUCUGUAAAUGGUGUGGUUAUAUAUCUACAAAUUGAGUAAUUUGUGUGAUCUAGAGGCAGAUCAUAUUUCACUGUCAAUUUCCUUCAAAAUAUGUUAAUAAAUAUUCUUAGCCAAUAGGCCAUUUCCAGAAGAAUGGAUUUAUAUCACCAGAAAGCCAACAAUGGUGCAAAAUUACGGAAUUUUUACUAUCACCAAGGAAGAGGGUUUUAAUUUCCCACAAUGGAAAUACUAAGAAAAAAAAACCUCUUUCAAGGCAUUUUUGGUAUGGGGAGAAUUUCAAGAAAUUGUCAAAUAGGGUAAAGGUGGGAGGAGUCCUACCUAAGACUCACUUCCUGUAAUUCAUACAGUUCCCAGACUUUUCUCUCCUGCAGACACCUGCAGGGCAGCUACUUGCCUUUGAGGCCUGCCGGCUUCCACGAAAUGCUCCUGGCUAUACUCUGUGGCCGGGUGUCCCACUCUGACAGGUGGAUCGACACAUCAUGAAUAUGGGAAGAAAAACAAGUUUGACAAAGUCACUGACAAGUUUGCAGAAGUUAAUUGCAAAAAUAGACACUGUAACAUUAUUAUUCAUUACUGUAAAAGACCAAUAGAGCAAAGACGAACAGAAGACUGACCCUUCAGGACCUGCCUACCCACCUGAGUGAAGCUGGGGAGGGAAUGGGAGCCAGGAAGAUUCAGCUAUAGCACAAGCCCUGCUUGGACUCUCAGACCCCUGUGUCAAGCCAUGUCCAGCCAGGAGCACUCAGUGGCUUUCCUCUCUGGAGGUGAGUCUGAUGACCCAAGUCUUAGCACCCUCCUGAGACCACGAGAAUACCUGGUCCUGAGAUGCAGCAUUAAUCAGCACUGCCUGGAGCCCACAUCCCUCCUGCCCUCCACACUCAGGCUCCCAGCAUCACCUUUAUUCCCACAGAAAGAAGGGAGUUUACAUUUCAAUCCACGCACAUCUCCCCAACCCCAGCCCAACUCUGGUCAGCCUGAUGUCCCUAACUCUGAAUAAUCAACUCAAAGCAGGAAGGAAAAUAUUUCCCACCAAAAUUUAGCACAGGAUUAUCAUCACUCUUCGGUUCUCAAAAGAUUCCUAAGUCAUCCAACAGGGAUUCAUUAUGUCAUUAAGUGUCACAUUUCCUUCAUGUUGGAGACGGGGAAAAGUUAUGAUACUUAUUUUUCAUUUUUACUUACAAAAUGUAAUGAAUUCCAAUGAUGACCUAUUUCUAAAGUCCACCAAUCAAAGGAAAUUGUAAAGUUCACCAUAGUAACAGCUCAGUGUCAGUCACCCAAGUGAGAACCACACCGCUUAGGAGGCCCCCGCCAAUCGUGGGGCAGAGUAUUGUUACCAUCUCAUAGCAACCAAGAGAUCUGCAUGGCAACAUCAGUUGCUAUAUAAAAGAAAAAUUAGAAACAAUAUUCUGCUAGGGAGAAAUAAAGGUAUCAACUGUUAAGUCAUACUUGAGUCAGGUUUGUGAAGACCCAUCCUAAAAUAUCCACCUAAAUAUAACUCAGAUAAUACUUGUCAGAGCCAAGAGUUCAUGUGCUAGGAGCCCUUCACCCACCACCACCUGCAACCACCUGAGAGUGGAAGAGAGGCAACUCUCCAUAGAACAGACGGCCUCUGAAUGGGAAGGGAGAGAGUCUUUGAAUACUAGGAACUGUAAGGCAAAUUGGGAGGGUAGAUUACCCAUGAAUCAUCACAUUUAAUCCCACGAGGGAGGCAGGGCAGAUAUUAUCAUUAUCACUCAAUUCUCCAUCUCCCCCCGACCUCAAAUCUGUUCCUCCCCCAGCUUUCCCAUCUCCAUUAAUGGCAACACAAUUCUUCCAAUUGUUCAUACCAAAACCCUCAGAGGUCUCCUUUAUUUUCUUUCUCUCAUGCUCAAUCCAAUCCAUCAGCAAACUCUGUUUGUUCUGCUUUCAAGAUAUGUCCAGAAUCCAGCCACCUCCACAGCUAUGCCUUGGUCCAAACCACCAUCCUCUCUCGCCUGAGGUAAUAGCCUCCUAACCUGUGUCCCUGCUUCACACCCCUGCCCACCUACAGUCUAUUCUCAACACAGCAGCCAAAGUGACCCUUUCAAAAUAUAAGUCCUUGGCUCAUGACCCUCCAAGGACUUCCCAUCCUCUCUCACAGUGAAAAUCCAAGUCCUCACCGUGACCCACAAGACUGCACACAGCUUAGCUCCCUCUUGUUUCCCUCUGCACUAUUGUCUGCUUUCCUCACCAGCUUCAGUCACACUGGUCUCCCCACUGUUCUUCCAGCACAACAGGCUCCCCCCUACCUCAGGGCCUUUGCACUAGCUACUUCUCUGUGUGGAACAUUCUCCCCCCAGAUGCCCUCAAGGCUCACUCCCUCAUUUCCUUCCAAUGUUCACUCAUAAGUCACCUUCUCAGUGAGCCUCUGUCUGACCUAUUUUAAAACUGGACUCUGUACCCACACCCUUUACCCACAUCCUCUAACCCCCUUCUGUGGCACACUGGGUACCUAGAACAAUGCCUGGCACUUACUAAGUACUCAAUAAAUAUCUGAUUAUGAAAAAUGGAAGCACGGUUUUACAGAUAAAGUAACUGGGCUCGAGAAGCUAAAUGAUUUACUCAAAGGCUCACAGCCAGAACAUAUUAGAGCCCAGACUUUAAGCUAGAUUUGCCAAUGACUCCCCAAACUGUGUUCUGCCCACUGUACCACAU